rnacentral:rRNA from 1 species
GAUGAACGCUGGCGGCGUGCCUAAUACAUGCAAGUCGAGCGAACGGACGAGAAGCUUGCUUCUCUGAUGUUAGCGGCGGACGGGUGAGUAACACGUGGAUAACCUACCUAUAAGACUGGGAUAACUUCGGGAAACCGGAGCUACUACCGGAUAAUAUUUUGAACCGCAUGGUUCAAAAGUGAAAGACGGUUUUGCUGUCACUUAUAGAUGGAUCCGCGCUGCAUUAGCUAGUUGGUAAGGUAACGGCUUACCAAGGCAACGAUGCAUAGCCGACCUGAGAGGGUGAUCGGCCACACUGGAACUGAGACACGGUCCAGACUCCUACGGGAGGCAGCAGUAGGGAAUCUUCCGCAAUGGGCGAAAGCCUGACGGAGCAACGCCGCGUGAGUGAUGAAGGUCUUCGGAUCGUAAAACUCUGUUAUUAGGGAAGAACAUAUGUGUAAGUAACUGUGCACAUCUUGACGGUACCUAAUCAGAAAGCCACGGCUAACUACGUG